rnacentral:rRNA from 1 species
AGUAACACGUGGAUAACCUACCUAUAAGACUGGGAUAACUUCGGGAAACCGUAGCUAAUACCGGAUAAUAUUUUGAACCGCAUGGUUCAAAAGUGAAAGACGGUCUUGCUGUCACUUAUAGAUGGAUCCGCGCUGCAUUAGCUAGCUGGUAAGGUAACGGCUUACCAAGGCAACGAUGCAUAGCCGACCUGAGAGGGUGAUCGGCCACACUGGAACUGAGACACGGUCCAG